rnacentral:piRNA from 1 species
AGAAAUUGAGGAUGAGCCA